UACGAAGGGGGCUAGCGUUGUUCGGAAUUACUGGGCGUAAAGCGCGCGCAGGCGGUCUUCCAAGUCAGUGGUGAAAGCCCGGAGCUCAACUCCGGAACUGCCAUUGAAACUGUUAGACUUGAGGACAGAAGAGGUUGGCGGAACUUUAUGAGUAGGGGUGAAAUCCAUUGAUUCAUGCGGGACCACCAAAGAGGCGAAGGCAGCUAACUAUUCUGCUCCUGACAUUGAGGCAUGAAAGCGUGGGGAGCAAAACGG
rnacentral:rRNA from 1 species